rnacentral:rRNA from 1 species
AAUCGAACCCGGAGAUAGCUGGUUCUCCCCGAAAUAGCUUUAGGGCUAGCGUCGCAGCGAGAGAGCCGUGAAGGUAGAGCACUGAAUAUGCGAUGGCCGCAUCCCGCGGUACUGAGCAUAAUCAAACUCCGAAUGUCACGGUGUCAUCUGCGGCAGUCAGACGGCGAGUGAUAAGGUCCGUCGUCAAGAGGGAAACAGCCCAGACCAUCAGCUAAGGUCCCAAAGUGCAUGCUAAGUGGAAAAGGAAGUGGAGACGUGCAGACAACUAGGAGGUUGGCUCAGAAGCAGCCAUCCUUCAAAGAGUGCGUAACAGCUCACUAGUCGAAUGACUCUGCGCCGAUAAUUUACCGGGGCUAAGCAUGACACCGAAGCUAUGGACAGGAAUGUGGUAGGGGAGCAUUGCAUGCAGCGGAGAAGCAUGACCGAGAGGGCAUGUGGAGCGCAUGGAAGAGAGAAUGCCGGCGUGAGUAGCGGCACGUGGGUGAGAAUCCCACGCACCGAUGGCCCAAGGUCUCCAGAGGAAGGCUCGUCCUCUCUGGGAUAGUCGGGACCUAAGGCGAGGCCGAAAGGCGUAGCCGAUGGACGACGGGUGGAUAUUCCCGUACCCGAUGUGUGGCGAUGGAGUGACGGAGAAGGCUCAGGCAACCAGCUGCUGGAAUAGCUGGGGCAAGCGAGAUACCUGCGCACCAGGGAAAUCCGGUGCGCGCAGGGGGAAGGCGCGAAGCAUACGGAAAGCUGCGGCAAGUACGGAAAAGCUGAGAGCAGGCUUCCAGGAAAAGCUUCUAGCACAACACGCAUCGGCCCGUACCGAAAAUGGACACACAUGGGCAAGGAGAGAAUCCUGAGGUGAGCGAGAGAACUAUAGCUAAGGAACUCUGCAAAAUGACCCCGUAACUUAGGGAGAAGGGGUGCUCCAGAAAUGGAGCCGCAGUAAAACGGCCCAAGCGACUGUUUACCAAAAACACAGCUCUCUGCGAAGGCGCAAGCCGAAGUAUAGGGGGUGACGCCUGCCCGGUGCUGGAAGGUCAAGGGGAGCUGUCAGCGCAAGCGAAGCAGCGAGCCGAAGCCCCAGUAAACGGCGGCCGUAACUAUAACGGUCCUAAGGUAGCGAAAUUCCUUGUCGGGCAAGUUCCGACCCGCACGAAAGGCGUAACGAUUUGGGCGCUGUCUCAGCUGUAGACUCGGUGAAGUCUUAGUACCUGUGAAGAUGCAGGUUGCCCGCGACUAGACGGAAAGACCCCAUGGAGCUUCACUGCAGGUUGACAUUGGGCUUGGAUGCAUGAUGUACAGGAUAGGUGGGAGGCUGUGAGCCGUGCGCGCCAGCGUACGGGGAGCCGCUGUUGGGAUACCACCCUUCAUGCAUCUAGGUCCUAACCGGAGGCAACGGGCCACGGGACAGUGUCAGUCGGGCAGUUUGACUGGGGCGGUCGCCUCCCAAAGAGUAACGGAGGCGCCCAAAGAUACCCUCAGCAUGGAUGGAAACCAUGCAUAGAGUGCAAAGGCAUAAGGGUGUCUGACUGCGAGACAUACAGGUCGAGCAGGGACGAAAGUCGGGCUUAGUGAUCCGGCGGAUCCGAAUGGAAGGGCCGUCGCUCAACGGAUAAAAGCUACCCUGGGGAUAACAGGCUGAUCUCCCCCAAGAGUUCACAUCGACGGGGAGGUUUGGCACCUCGAUGUCGGCUCAUCGCAUCCUGGAGCUGAAGUCGGUUCCAAGGGUUGGGCUGUUCGCCCAUUAAAGCGGUACGCGAGCUGGGUUCAGAACGUCGUGAGACAGUUCGGUCCCUAUCUGUCGUGGGCGCAGGAUAUUUGAAAGGAGCUGUCCCUAGUACGAGAGGACCGGGAUGGACGAACCUCUGGUGCACCAGUUGUCACGCCAGUGGCACAGCUGGGCAGCCAAGUCCGGACGGGAUAAGCGCUGAAGGCAUCUAAGCGUGAAGCCCCCUCCAAGAUGAGACCUCCCAUUGG